rnacentral:rRNA from 1 species
UUGGAGGGCAAGUCUGGUGCCAGCAGCCGCGGUAAUUCCAGCUCCAAUAGCGUAUAUUAAAGUUGUUGCAGUUAAAAAGCUCGUAGUUGAAUUUCGGGGUUAGUAGGUUGGUCAUGCCACUGGUAUGUACUGGUCUCACUGAUUCCUCCUUCCUGAUGAGACGUAAUGCCAUUAAUUUGGUGUUGCGAGGAAUCUGGACUGUUACUUUGAAAAAAUUAGAGUGUUUAAAGCAGGCUAACGCUUGAAUACAUUAGCAUGGAAUAAUGAAAUAGGACGUUUGAUCUUAUUUUGUUGGUUUCUAGGAUUGACGUAAUGAUUAAUAGGGAUAGUUGGGGGCAUUAGUAUUCAAUUGUCAGAGGUGAAAUUCUUGGAUUUAUUGAGGACUAACUACUGCGAAAGCAUUUGCCAAGGAUGUUUUCAUUAAUCAAGAACGAAAGUUAGGGGAUCGAAGACGAUCAGAUACCGUCGUAGUCUUAACCAUAAACUAUGCCGACUAGGGAUCGGAUGAUGUUAAUUUUUUAAUGACUCAUUCGGCGCCUUACGGGAAAC